ACAAGCGGUGGAGUAUGUGGUUAAUUCGAUGCAACGCGAAGACCUUACCUGGUCUUGACAUCCCGGAGACCCUUAGGAAACUAGGGGGUGCUUCCAUCUGGAAGAAUCUGGAGACAGGUGCUGCAUGGCUGUCGUCAGCUCGUGUCGUGAGAUGUUGGGUUAAGUCCCGCAACGAGCGCAACCCUUGCCUUUAGUUGCCAGCAGUUCGGCUGGGCACUCUAAAGGGACUGCCGGUGUUAAACCGGAGGAAGGUGGGGAUGACGUCAAGUCCUCAUGGCCUUUAUGACCAGGGCUACACACGUACUACAAUGGCCGAUACAAAGGGCAGCGACACUGCGAGGUGAAGCCAAUCCCGUAAAAUCGGUCUCAGUCCGGAUUGGAGUCUGCAACUCGACUCCAUGAAGUUGGAAUCGCUAGUAAUCGUGGAUCAGCAUGCCACGGUGAAUACGUUCCCGGGCCUU
rnacentral:rRNA from 1 species